GGGAAGGCCAGAUUCCUUCAAGAUGACAAGCAGUCCAGAGAAGACUGAAACUGAGACACGGAGAAGCUUCUAGCAAGUACCAACCUCAUCAAACAAGCAAAGUCUUCCAAGUCCAAACAGUUUUUCUGCACAGAUUCUGUCCCUAAGCCGCUAAGGUCCCUUGCCUGUGCCCCCUUAAAGCCUUCUGUCUUACUGGGAAGAAUGGGUGAGAGGACUUUACUCCUUUUGCUGGAAGCAGGUCCUCUAAGAGACCUUAAACAACUUCUGUUGCAUUGAAGGCAAGUACAGCUUCCAAACCUUUGUGCUUUGGAUAUAUUUUUAGUCUCAUAAUUAUGACAGUUCUGAAGACUGUAGCUUUGUUUGCUUCUCAACGGGCUUCCUUCACCAGUUGUUCUUUGGGAAUUUCAAUACAGUGUUGGUGACAAACUAUAUACUGCUUACUUAUUGUGCCUGUAUCAGGAAUUUCCUUCCCUGCCUUUUUUCCCCUAUCAAAUAUACUUGAAUUCCUCCUGAAGCAACACCCAGAAGAGUCCUUCGCCCAGACA